CCACCUCGCCGUGUAUAAAUCCGGCCUCGGUGAUCGCUGUGACCACUCACCACUAGAAGCAAUAGCAACUUGAACUUCAGACUUCAGAGCACAAUUUGCCAGCCAGUCAAACUCAAGAAGGAUUCGACACAGCUCGCUCGACCACAUGGCCAACUUCACCGCCCAGCUCAAGGAGAGGUUCCUCGCCCUCGUCGACCGCGUCACCGGCUGCGGCCGCGGUUCCGCGGCCAAGGAGAAGGAGGAGGCCACCAAGCCGGCCAUGAAGGAGCACGUCGAGAUUCGAUCGAGAGCUCCCAACGUGUCAGGAGGAUCAGGGGCGGGAGUCAAUUAGCACACUGCAUGCACGCUGAUGCGGGCUGAAGAUGUACUGUAUUUGUCGUUGCAGAUUCGUGCGCCUGUUUCUUUCAGUGCACGCCAUGUAAUUAAGCUUGCGGGUUCUUGUUGUUUCCUGUAACUGUAAGUGUGCCGCUUUGUUGUGCAAUCUCCUCCUGUUAAUUUCUUGGGACGAAAUCUUGUGUAAUCUCCACGUACGCCGGCCGCGAGGCUUGGUGUGGAGUGAUCUAAAAGAUCUUAUACUAUUUGUUUACAGAGGGAGUACGUAUAAGGUUAAUAAAGGGUAUUUUUGUGGAGAAGAUAGUGCUUUGCAUCAA